UCUCUCCCUUUCACUUGGCCAAUGGAACUUAGGUUUUCAUUGGUCAUUCAUGUGGGGCAAAGAAAAUGUCCUUUAAAAGCUCAUAUACAAACUGUCUUGUAACCUGUCAGAGGAAACAAAA